rnacentral:rRNA from 1 species
AUUGAACGCUGGCGGCAGGCUUAACACAUGCAAGUCGAGCGGAGAUGAGGUGCUUGCACCUUAUCUUAGCGGCGGACGGGUGAGUAAUGCUUAGGAAUCUGCCUAUUAGUGGGGGACAACAUUCCGAAAGGAAUGCUAAUACCGCAUACGUCCUACGGGAGAAAGCAGGGGAUCUUCGGACCUUGCGCUAAUAGAUGAGCCUAAGUCGGAUUAGCUAGUUGGUGGGGUAAAGGCCUACCAAGGCGACGAUCUGUAGCGGGUCUGAGAGGAUGAUCCGCCACACUGGGACUGAGACACGGCCCAGACUCCUACGGGAGGCAGCAGUGGGGAAGAUUGGACAAUGGGGGGAACCCUGAUCCAGCCAUGCCGCGUGUGUGAAGAAGGCCUUAUGGUUGUAAAGCACUUUAAGCGAGGAGGAGGCUACUGAGACUAAUACCCUUGGAUAGUGGACGUUACUCGCUGAAUAAGCACCGGCUAACUCUGUGCCAGCAGCCGCGGUAACAC